GCGACGCGGUGAGUAACACGUGGAUAACCUACCUAUAAGACUGGGAUAACUUCGGGAAACCGGAGCUAAUACCGGAUAAUAUUUUGAACCGCAUGGUUCAAAAGUGAAAGACGGUCUUGCUGUCACUUAUAGAUGGAUCCGCGCUGCAUUAGCUAGUUGGUAAGGUAGCGGCUUACCAAGGCAACGAUGCAUAGCCGACCUGAGAGGGUGAUCGGCCACACUGGAACUGAGACACGGUCCAGACUCCUACGGGGGGCAGCAGUAGGGAAUCUUCCGCAAUGGGCGAAAGCCUGACGGAGCAACGCCGCGUGAGUGAUGAAGGUCUUCGGAUCGUAAAACUCUGUUAUUAGGGAAGAACAUAUGUGUAAGUAACUGUGCACAUCUUGACGGUACCUAAUCAGAAAGCCACGGCUAACUACGUGCCAGCAGCCGCGGUAAUACGUAGGUGGCAAGCGUUAUCCGGAAUUAUUGGGCGUAAAGCGCGCGUAGGCGGUUUUUUAAGUCUGAUGUGAAAGCCCACGGCUCAACCGUGGAGGGUCAUUGGAAACUGGAAAACUUGAGUGCAGAAGAGGAAAGUGGAAUUCCAUGUGUAGCGGUGAAAUGCGCAGAGAUAUGGAGGAACACCAGUGGCGAAGGCGACUUUCUGGUCUGUAACUGACGCUGAUGUGCGAAAGCGUGGGGAUCAAACAGGAUUAGAUACCCUGGUAGUCCACGCCGUAAACGAUGAGUGCUAAGUGUUAGGGGGUUUCCGCCCCUUAGUGCUGCAGCUAACGCAUUAAGCACUCCGCCUGGGGAGUACGACCGCAAGGUUGAAACUCAAAGGAAUUGACGGGGACCCGCACAAGCGGUGGAGCAUGUGGUUUAAUUCGAAGCAACGCGAAGAACCUUACCAAAUCUUGACAUCCUUUGACAACUCUAGAGAUAGAGCCUUCCCCUUCGGGGGACAAAGUGACAGGUGGUGCAUGGUUGUCGUCAGCUCGUGUCGUGAGAUGUUGGGUUAAGUCCCGCAACGAGCGCAACCCUUAAGCUUAGUUGCCAUCAUUAAGUUGGGCACUCUAAGUUGACUGCCGGUGACAAACCGGAGGAAGGUGGGGAUGACGUCAAAUCAUCAUGCCCCUUAUGAUUUGGGCUACACACGUGCUACAAUGGACAAUAUAAAGGGCAGCGAAACCGCGAGGUCAAGCAAAUCCCAUAAAGUUGUUCUCAGUUCGGAUUGUAGUCUGCAACUCGACUACACGAAGCUGGAAUCGCUAGUAAUCGUAGAUCAGCAUGCUACGGUGAAUACGUUCCCGGGUCU
rnacentral:rRNA from 1 species